rnacentral:rRNA from 1 species
GGUUAAGCGACUAAGCGUACACGGUGGAUGCCCUGGCAGUCAGAGGCGAUGAAGGACGUGCUAAUCUGCGAUAAGCGUCGGUAAGGUGAUAUGAACCGUUAUAACCGGCGAUUUCCGAAUGGGGAAACCCAGUGUGUUUCGACACACUAUCGUUAACUGAAUACAUAGGUUAACGAAGCGAACCGGGGGAACUGAAACAUCUAAGUACCCCGAGGAAAAGAAAUCAACCGAGAUUCCCCCAGUAGCGGCGAGCGAACGGGGAACAGCCCAGAGUCUGAAUCAGCUU